rnacentral:tRNA from 1 species
GCUCAGGUGGCGGAAUGGUAGACGCUGAGGACUUAAAAUCCUUUGGCCGUAAGGCCGUGCGGGUUCGAGUCCCGCCCCGAGUACCA